rnacentral:rRNA from 1 species
GAUGAACGCUGGCGGCGUGCCUAAUACAUGCAAGUCGAGCGAACAGACGAGGAGCUUGCUCCUCUGACGUUAGCGGCGGACGGGUGAGUAACACGUGGAUAACCUACCUAUAAGACUGGGAUAACUUCGGGAAACCGGAGCUAAUACCGGAUAAUAUAUUGAACCGCAUGGUUCAAUAGUGAAAGACGGUUUUGCUGUCACUUAUAGAUGGACCCGCGCCGCAUUAGCUAGUUGGUAAGGUAACGGCUUACCAAGGCAACGAUACGUAGCCGACCUGAGAGGGUGAUCGGCCACACUGGAACUGAGACACGGUCCAGACUCCUACGGGAGGCAGCAGUAGGGAAUCUUCCGCAAUGGGCGAAAGCUUGACGGAGCAACGCCGCGUGAGUGAUGAAGGUCUUCAGAUCGUAAAACUCUGUUAUUAGGGAAGAACAAAUGUGUAAGUAACUAUGCACGUCUUGACGGUACCUAAUCAGAAAGCCACGGCUAACUACGUG